CAGGCAGAGCUGAGUGCCACGGGACACCAGGUUCUGCAUUGGGGAAGCUUCCAAUAUUGCCCUCGGCUCAUCUGCAUGAGCAGGGUAAACCAAGACCUCCUGGGCCAGAAUGGAAUCACGGCUAUUAAUGAGGCUUGGUCCUGCCGAAUCUUCAUCAAUACCCUGGGUAUCAUGGC